rnacentral:rRNA from 1 species
GAGUUUGAUCCUGGCUCAGGACGAACGCUGGCGGCGUGCUUAACACAUGCAAGUCGCACGGGGCCCGCAAGGGUUCAGUGGCGGACGGGUGCGUAACACGUGAAGAACGUGUCCAUCGGUGGGGGAGUAGCCGGCCCAACGGCCGGGUAAUACCGCAUAUUCCGGUUGGAGCGCAUGCUCUGGCCAGGAAAGCAGCAAUGCGCCGAUGGAGCGCUUCGCGGCCUAUCAGCUAGUUGGCGGGGUCGAUGGCCCACCAAGGCGACGACGGGUAGCUGGUCUGAGAGGAUGGCCAGCCACAUUGGGACUGAGACACGGCCCAGACUCCUACGGGAGGCAGCAGUGGGGAAUAUUGCGCAAUGGGCGAAAGCCUGACGCAGCGACGCCGCGUGUGGGAUGACGGCC